rnacentral:rRNA from 1 species
CCCUUAGAUGCUCUGGGCCGCACGCGCGCUACACUGGUCGAUGCAACGAGUUUCUUUCCUUGGCCGACAGGCCUGGGCAAUCUUUGAACAUCGAUCGUGAUCGGGAUAGAUUCUUGUAAUUUUUGAUCUUAAACGAGGAAUUCCUAGUAAACGCAAGUCAUCAGCUUGCAUUGAUUACGUCCCUGCCCUUUGUACACACCGCCCGUCGCACCUACCGAUCGAAGGUAAUGAUGAGCCCUCAGGAUUGUGGCCUCGUCGCGUCAGCGUCUUGGCUGCGAGAAUCUGUGCAAAUCCCUACCUUUAGAGGAAGGUGAAGUCGUAACA